GCCCUCAUCCCCCUGACCCUCUCACCCAACCCACAGCCCCGCACUCCUCCUCCCUCGUCCACAACUCGACAUCUCUCUCCCGAACAACUCUUCUCAUCGCCGCCACCAUCAACGACGCUCGAUCCACGCGACCUACCGGCCGGAAUCGAUGGUGCCACGCACACCACAUGGAUCCCCUCACUCUGCUACUCCCUCCUAUCAUGGGAGAUCCAGCACGCGUGUCCUCCAAUGCUAUCCGCGACCGUCUCUUGUUACUAGGGUUUCGGUAGGAUUGGCCCCGGUGACUCAGUACGGCGGAGGCGUGCGGGGUUGACCAAUCCAUGGGAGCGUCGUAUCUAGCAUCCGUGUCGCCAGAUCCCCCCUCCCAAAUCCAGUACGGCGGAGGCGCGCAGGGUUGACCAAUCCAAGGGGGCGCCGGAUCCCCCCCUAGCCAAACCACGGGGGUUGACCAAUCUAUCUGCAGGAACCUCUAGACGUGAUGGUCGAGCCUCAUAGGAGCGUGGACAUAACUGACGGAAAGUGGUGCCCAGACCGUAUCCAGUUUGUGCAAUGAAUUCACAAGGACGUACUUCUGCAUACCAAUAUUUUAUUUUCUCUUUGCAGAUCCUUAGUUACAUCAUCGAGUUUUCAAACCAUGCAUCUCUCAAAAAAGAAUUUCCCUGUGUAGAUUAUUGUUUUAUGAGUUUUACUACAAUGUAACUUUUAUACUAUUUGGCUAUGUUCAGUUAUUAGGAAACUUUUAGGAUCUGCACAUGAAUUAACAGAAACCUGUGCAGAUAAUGAACAUAAUCUUUUGGAUUAGUGCUACUUAUUCUAAGUGUAAAGGAUGCCGAGUUAACUUGGUAUUUUUAACAAAUACGGUUCAACAACAAGCUAUAUUAAAUAACAAUCCAGAUUAAAACAUUUUAACAGAUAGACUAUUUAAUAAAAUCUGCUCGCCUGCUAUUUAUAUACAUAACUAUUGGACAGUGGCAAGACUUCCAUUGUGUGUCUGAA